rnacentral:rRNA from 1 species
AGUCACUGACAUUAGAUACCCCCGUAGUCCCAGCCGUAAACAAUGUGCGUUAGGUGUGUCGGUAACCACGUGUUACUGAUGCGCCGAAGAGAAAUCGUGAAACGCACCACCUGGGAAGUACGGUCGCAAGGCUGAAACUUAAAGGAAUUGGCGGGGGAGCACCACAACAGGUGGAGCCUGCGGUUUAAUUGGAUUCAACGCCGGACAUCUCACCGGAUAAGACAGCUGAAUGAUUGUCAAUCUGAAGGUUUACAUGACUAGCUG